CUAGUGUCCCAGUGUCCGCUAGUCUCCCAGUGUCUCCUAGUCUCCCCGUGUCCCCUAGUCUCCCAGUGUCUGUGUUCCCAUGUCUCUCAAUGUCCCUAGUGUCUUAGUGUCCCCAAAUGUUUCAGUGUCCCCAUGUCUCCCAGUGUCUGUGUCCCCAUGUCUCUGUGUCCCUAGUGUCUCAGUGUCCCCAUUUCUCCCAGUGUCCCCAAAUGUCUGUGUCUCCAUGUCUCCCAGUGUCCCCAUGUCUCCCAGUGUCC